GGAGAGUUGCCGGAGUGGCCGAACGGGUUCGCCUGCUAAGCGAAUGUUCAGGGUAAACCUGGACCGGGGGUUCGAAUCCCCCACUCUCCGCCA
rnacentral:tRNA from 1 species